UGAUAAAGGCAAACCUAUCGAAAGGUAGGGACGCAAAGUCACAGGUCUAGGUAAAUCCUAUGAUGGCUGGGCUGCCGG
rnacentral:ncRNA from 1 species